GUGUGUGUAGCUCAACGGUUAGAGCAUCGGAUUGUGGUUCCGAGGGCUGAGGGUUCGAUUCCCUUCACGCACC
rnacentral:tRNA from 1 species